UUUGUGGCAGGCGCCUCGGCCAUCUUUGUAAAGACUAUAUCUGUCAUUAAGUUGGUGGGUAUAAGACUUGCAUCAUUUACUGUGAGCAAAAUAGAGUGUUCAAAGCAGGCUUAGGCCAUGAAUAUCUUAGCAUGGAAUAAUAAGAUAAGACCUUGGUCUAUUUUGUUGGUUAGCAUUCCGAGGUAAUGAUUAAUAGGGAUAGUUGGGGGUAUUCGUAUUCAAUUGCCAGAGGUGAAAUUCUUGGAUUUAUUGAAGACGAACUACUGCGAAAGCAUUUACCAAGGAUGUUCUCAUUAAUCAAGAACGAAAGUUAGGGGAUCGAAAAUGAUUAAAUACCAUCGUAAUCUUAACCAUAAACUAUGCCGACUAAGGAUUAGUGGACGACAUUUAUUCUUCAUUAUCACCUUAUGAGAAAUCAAAGUCUUUGGGUUCCGGGGGGAGUAUGGUCGCAAGGCUGAAACUUAAAGAAAUUGACGGAAGGGCACCACCAGGAGUGGAGCCUGCGGCUUAAUUUGACUCAACACGGGGAAACUUACCAGGUCCAGACAUAGUGAGGAUUGACAGAUUGAGAGCUCUUUCUUGAUUCUAUGGGUGGUGGUGCAUGGCCGUUCUUAUUUGGUGGAGUGAUUUGUCUGGUUAAUUCCGUUAACAAACGAGACCCCC
rnacentral:rRNA from 1 species